CCCUCUGUCUUCAUGAUGCAAGUUUAAAAUGAAAAACUCUUAAACAUCAAAGUUGUAUAUAGUUUCAAGAUGGUCAAUCUAGACUCAAAGUUUGCAUCAUUUGGAUUUUCUAUGACAAAGUUAUGGGCAUUUGAAGUUGGGUACAUUUUCAAAUUCAAUGAAUUAGGUCGAAGAUGACCUAUAAUGUUUUGCAUUAUAACAUGUAUUUAUUUUAAUAUUAUGAAAAUUUGUCCAACCUAACCUUUGAAUUAGACAUCUCAAGCUUUCCAAUU
rnacentral:lncRNA from 1 species